GGGGCUGACCGGUUUUGACAGCGAGAACAAUGGAUAAGUAAGCACGUCGAGUCACGUAAUGCAAACUCGUAAAUACUGUAUUACAAACUAUAACUGGCAACGAAGAAUACGCUUUAGCUGCUUAAUCCGACUGAAUUAUAGUAAGUCCAAGCACUUUCUCUGCAAGGCAGAGAAGCUAAAUGUCUCUCAAAAGCCUUUCUCUACGGCGUUUGGUAUAGAGGCACAGGAAUGUGGAGAUAGAAUAAGAACCGCAUCGAAUCUUAUUUGAAAUUCAGAUGCUAAGUUGUAAAUGGGGUGUAAGUCCUCAGUUUACAAUCGAAAAAGUAAAGACUUACUAAGCGUGUAGAAAGCUUGUGUAUUGCUCGUUUGGACGAGGGUUCGAAUCCCUCCAGCUCCACAG
rnacentral:tmRNA from 1 species